rnacentral:misc_RNA from 1 species
CAAAGUGGUUUUAAAAAAACUAUAAAUUUACUCAAACACUGAAAAAAGCACGCGGAAAACUUGCAGAAGACCACAUAGAAUUAUCUCUAAAAAGCGCUCCACGAUGCCAUAAAUAUUAAACAUAUUUAAAAAAUUUUUAAGCAAAAUAAUUACAAUAUAAUGUCAAAUGAGAAUUAUACAAAUAUAUUUAUCGCUUUUUUUUUUUUUUUUAAAUGUUAUGUUCAUUUAAAUGUAUUUAACUUUCUACACCACUCCAAUUUCGUCUAUAUGGCAAUCAGAGUGUGGCAAUUUCAUUUUGUUCCCUCCUGAUAAUGCCUACACUUUUAAUACAAUUGAAAAGUCUCACACCAAGGACUGGUUUCCAAGGAUCAAUUUUAAAGAAUAUUUGUGUUACCCAUCGAGUGGCACAAAAUUCAACAUUCGAAAUCCAACGAAUUGGAAGCAAUUUAUGGGAGAUUGUAAGAAAAUACUAAUGCGUCGAGUUUUGAGUGAUUCCGAGGCGCCGAGCAACAAAUCUAAACCGUCGGAGAAACAAGCAACUAACACAUUCAAAAAGCUUUUAGUGAAAAGUGGAAUAUAAGUUGUUGACAGAAAAUUGCCAUCUGAAAUCAACAUUUUUGACCAAGAUGCUCCUACCAGUCAAUCUCGAUCUUUGAAGCGCAAGUUUUUUGAUGAGGUGAUGUCUUCUGCUGACGGAACCGAAGUAUAAGAAGCUGGCGAAUAAAUUGGCAGAAAAAGAUCCCAAAGAUUUGAAAAAAUUGCUUGAGAAAACAGAAUUGAGAAUGCAGCAGACCAUAAAAAUGAAAACUCCCCCAGUAUCAGCGAAACAAAUAUUGGCUUCUGUUAUAUCUUACAAAUCAGACAAACGAUGAAACAAAUUAACUUAUUUCCGAAAGGUUAUUUCGGAAACGGGAAAAUUCGCAUCGUACACCGAGAAGAAUGUAUUAAAGAACUUAUUAUAGAUUACAUUUAUUUCUUCAUUAAAAUUUAUA